UGAGAAUUCACAUUAACCAGUGAUUAAGAAAUAUUAAAAAGGGCUGAUAGUCCACUACGUUAUCAAGUUCAAAGCCUAAGAAAUAUUGAACAUUUCCACACAUGAAUGUGGGUACUAUGUUUAAUUUGAGAAUGGCCAACUGUCCUCGAAGUCUCAAUCUCUUUGGAGCCUACCAGCUCCGAGAGAAGUUUGAGGAUGCUGCAAAACCCUCCCCUGCAAAUCCAUCUACUCCUCCCACUUCUAUCCUAAUGGGUAUAGUUCUUGGCUGUGCUGAGGAUCUGUAAGGCACCAGAUGUGAAAAUGAAACUAUGGCUCAAAAGGGAAUAAGAGAUCAAGGCAAGCAUGGACAUCUUGUACGUGGAAGUGCAGACCAGAACUUGUAUCACAGCCAGUCAUAUCUGGUGCUUUCCAUGCUACUUUUACAUACAUGUAUCCUUAAAUUUGAUCCUCUUCUAGUUUA
ensembl:lncRNA novel transcript